GUCCUGGCCGUAAACGAUGAGCACUGGGCCGGAGUACUGCACAGUUUUCCGGCCGUAGCGAAAGUGUUAAGUGCUCCGCCUGGGGAGUAUGGUCGCAAUGCUGAAACUCAAAGGAAUUGACGGGGGCUCACACAAGCGGUGGAGGAUGUGGCUCAAUUCGAGGCUACGCGAAGAACCUUAUCCUAGUCUUGACAUGGUUUGGAAUCCUCCUGAAAGGGAGGGGUGCCCGCAAGGGAGCCUUACCACAGGUGCUGCAUGGCUGUCGU
rnacentral:rRNA from 1 species